AUGCUCCAGGAACUCCCUCAGGAGCGACGCCCCGGUCAGCUUCACCGUCGCCAUGUUGCCUGGCCACAGGUCCGCGUCCAUCCUCUCCAGCACUGGCUUCGCGCGGGGAUCAACGAGCUCCGCGUGGGACCAAGCGUCGACGGCCUCGGGCUGCCUCAUAGGCAGGAUCAGCCGGGGGUGGAUGCGCCCAGCAUCCACCAUGACCCACUUGCUCCGGAAGCCUUUGAUCCUCUUCCCGGGCUUCGAGAUAGCAUUGGAGCUGGAGUACGCAAUAAAGCUCGCGCACGCAGUGAUGGGGCCGCGAGAAACCCGAAGGUAAAAGUAAUGGCGCAGCAAGGCCACCGAGGGCCUUACCCCAACGUGAGCCUCGCAGUAGUAGGCGAAAAUCGCCAGGAGAAGAACAGAGUUGGGAUGGAGGUGCAGAGCUUGCAGGUUGUAAUGGCGGAGAACAGAAAGGAA
rnacentral:rRNA from 1 species